CAUAAUUUUUUACAAAUAUCAGAAAAAUCUUGAAUAAGCAUAGAAGGAAUAAUUACUUAUAUUUGUCUAAAGCUGCAUUAGCACUGCUCUCAAUGAGUUCUACCUCUCUUGAGCAGGGAAGAGGACUGAGAGCAGAAAUGAGGCCUUGAUGGAGAAGAAACAUCUGAGAAAAGGAUGAGGCUGGAUUUUACAAAAUCCUCAUCUAAGAUCCCAGGAGGUUGCCAAGUCUCUCCAUUCAAUCGUAACCCUGAGCUGAGUAUCCACAGAAGUACGUUAAUUACAUGCAGGAAACUGUUCAACAACCCCAAGCCUCAUCAUGAUCUGAAAUUCUUCAGAAUCAAACCAGCCAAGGAGCCAGCAGGGCUCAUUGAUAGAACUUUAGCUUGGAAGGGGAAAAGUGGUAAAAUGGGCUCAGCAGUGAUGAGCAAAGGGGUGGUGUGACAAAACCUGAGGAAAUGACCAUUAAGAAGACCCUUUAAUCUGUUUCACAAGGUGUUAGCUACAAUGUACCAUACCUUAAAUAUUUCUACACUAAUGCAAAGAGCAUGAUGAACAUAUAACAGGAUCUCUGGGUCUUGGCUCAGUCCCAGAAAUUUGACAUUAUUGCCACAAGUGAAACCUGGUGGGAUGAGUCCUGUGUGACUGGAGUGGCCUGUUGGAUGGUUAAAAGCUCUUUGGAAAGGAUAGGAAGGGCAAAGAGUCAUUGUGGAAAUCUACCGCAGACCUUCUAGCCAGGCCAAUGAGACUGAUUAGUUAUUCUUUGAGGAAUCAAGGGAUACUUCCAAGGAAAAUGCUCUUUUUCUUAUGGAGGACUUCAGCUUGCCAGAAAUUGUGAGCAUCAAACAGCUGGUAUAAGCCGAGCCGGAAGACUCCAAAAAAGGCUGAGUGACAAUUUUAUGGAACAGGUCCUUAGGGAGUCAACUUGGAAACAUGCCCUCCUUGAUCUACUGCUUUACAAAAGAGAGGAUCUUGGAAACCGUGUGGAGAUUGGCAGUCAUCUCAGCCACAGCAAUCAUGAAACAAUAGAGUUCAAAAUCUCUUGUCACAGGAUGAAAAGUGCCAGCAAAACCUCAGCUCUGGGUGUGGGGAGAACAGACUUCAGUCUGCACGGGGAAUAAGUAAAGGUCCCUGGGAAAAUGUUUUUGCAGGUAUUGGGGUCAAUCAGUGAUGGUCACUUUUUAAACAUCACUUCUGAAGGGCACAGAAGCAGGCAAUUCCCAAAUGUCAGAAGUCAAGUAGGCAAGGAUGGUGUAUGCCCAGUGGAAGCAAGGUCAGGUGACAUGGGAACAGUACAGACAUGUUGCUUGCUGCUGCAGGGGAAAAAGUCA